GAAAACUUUAGGUUUUUUGAUAUUGCCUCAAGCAUUCAUUCCUAGGAGCUUCUCAUUGCUUGGUAUGAAUGAAGAGGGGAUUCUCCAAGGAGGGAGGCUAUGAGAUCUUCUUAAAGAACAUAAACUUUAUGGAGGACAUCUGACAAAAUAUCUUCAAUGUAUCCUGAUGUGGGAUGCUGAUCAUGUUUUGAACUUCAAAUCCAAGAAAAUAUGCUUACAAUUCCUAGUGUUCCAGAUUUCAUUACAACUGAAACAAGUUGAAAGGAGGCAGGUAGAUGGGUGAGACUAACAGUCCUGGAGACAAAGAAAUGAAAACCACAUUCAGCUUAGAAAUGAUUGGAUCAGAGUUCUGAUGAUGUCAGCCUGCCCAUCAAGGAAAGGGAGACAGAAAUAUCUGUGAACAGAUCG